ensembl:ncRNA T05A6.18 ncRNA
UUUCACUUUAAAACCACAUAACUCAUUACUCCAAACCACUAGCUCCAUCUCUCUAUCCACGUCACAUAAAUUUCUGUUCUUCUCCAUCGAUCAUCGAACGAUCCCGGAGAGGGACGUAGUGCCCCUCCACGCCACGUAAUAGCCCUCCCGUUCCCUCUUCAAAAUGUCUACUCGGAGAUUGAAUGCAAACCGCAAUAAAAAGU